CGAAUCUUGUUCACAGUGUUCUUCGUUAAGACGCACAUCAGUCACAUCAGUGUUUCAGUGUAUUAAUCUUUGUGUCUAAUAUAGUGUAAUAUAUCUAAUAUAGUGUAUAUCAGUGUAUAAUUAUAUUUUUAUAUAACUUAAAAGUUAUUUGUCGAUUAGCAUAUUAAUGUAAAUAAUAUCAAGAUUAAAUAAGUUCAAUACAAAAACUGAACCAUAUUAAUAUUGUGUUAAACAAAAAAAAAGUGUACUAUAAACUUCUCUCUAGACGUUAACUCGGUGUGUAUUGUGUACAAAAUACGAACUUGUGGACUAAUUUAGCUAGAUAAAAAUUUGUGUUGUGUGUAAAGCUUCGUUUUAUGUUUAAUUACGUAAAACAUUUAAGAUGGCUUUUAUGUAUGCAUUAGUUUUAUUUUUAAAUGAUUCGUCCAAUAAAGAAAUUGAUAUAUUGAAUAUCGUGGUACCGGAUGUAAAUAGCCUGAAUCAUUGUUAAAAAGUACUAAGUAUUGUAAAUUAUUACAAACGAUAGUUAAACAUUGUGAAGGGUCUGACCGACAUGGCCAACGUUUUAUGUUCAAAUAACUGGCCCAGCAGAAACAAUGGAAGAGGCAGAGGAAAAAUUAAUAAGAUUAAAAAGAACCCCUAUUCUUCUCUACCAAUAAUGAGUAGUCUGGUAAUGCAAAAGCGGCUGCUGUUGAAAAAACUUUCAAAUUAAAAGCAUUAGCAAAGGAUUGAUUAAAAAUAGAUAAUAUAUUUAGCCAAAUAGCUUUAGAGUUAACUGACGAA